rnacentral:lncRNA from 1 species
AUCUCGGUCAGCUGAGGUCUGGGCGCUUGCUUUUAUUGCUAGAGAGCUCAUGAAGAAUGGAAGGCAGGUUUUAUACGGUGCAAUGGAGUCUCGAGGAGUAUUCAUGGCAGCACAAAGCAACAGCCUCUGUAUGUCUUAUUGGACAUGACAGCUUGCUUUGGGGGGAAACUGGACAGCUGUGGCAUUGAGUUGUUGUCAGCAUCAUGGCCUGAAAUGUUUAUGGCAUCAAAAAUGGGUUGUGAGCAUAAUUUCCUGAGUACAAGCCUGAUAAAUCUACGGUACAUGAAAACCAGACUCAUCUGCAAUUAUAGAGCAGGUAUUUCCAUUUUUUGUUUUUGAAUUCUUACUCGCUAUAGAUGUAUGCUCUAAAGGCAAUU